GCAGGAUGAUGAUGUAGCUGACCUAUCAUGGAGGAGCAGGGGUGAUGAUGUAGCUGACCUGUCAUGGAGGAGCAGGGUGAUGAUGUAGCUGACCUAUCAUGGAGGAGGAGGAUGAUGAUGUAGCUGACCUAUCAUGGAGGAGCAGGAUGAUGAUGUAACUGACCUAUCAUGGAGGAGCAGGGGUGAUGAUGUAGCUGACCUAUCAUGGAGGAGCAGGAUGAUGAUGUAGCUGACCUAUCAUGGAGGAGCAGGCUGAUGUAGCUGACCUAUCAUGGAGGAGCAGGGUGAUGAUGUAGCUGACCUAUCAUGGAGGAGAAGGAUGAUGAUGUAGCUGACCUAUCAUGGAGGAGCAGGAUGAUGAUGUAACUGACCUAUCAUGGAGGAGCAGGGGUGAUGAUGUAGCUGACCUAUCAUGGAGGAGCAGGAUGAUGAUGUAGCUGACCUAUCAUGGAGGAGCAGGAUGAUGAUGUAGCUGACCUAUCAUGGAGGAG
rnacentral:lncRNA from 1 species